rnacentral:snRNA from 1 species
AUAAAGAACAUAUGCAAGAA